rnacentral:rRNA from 1 species
UACCAGCACCCCGAGUGGUCGGGACGAUUAUUGGGCCUAAAGCAUCCGUAGCCGGUUUUACAAGUCCUCCGUUAAAUCCAGCUGCUUAACAGAUGGGCCGCGGAGGAUACUAUAAGACUAGGAGGCAGGAGAGGCAAGCGGUACUCAGUGGGUAGGGGUAAAAUCCGUUGAUCCAUUGAAGACCACCAGUGGCGAAGGCGGCUUGCCAGAAUGCGCUCGACGGUGAGGGAUGAAAGCUGGGGGAGCAAACGGG